CAUGGCGGCCAAAGCGGAGGUGACACACCCGUUCCCAUCCGAACACGGAAGUAAAGCCCUCCAGCGAUUCUGGCUGUACUGUGGUGCGCGAGCCCACGGGAAACUGGAGACGCUGCCAGCC
rnacentral:rRNA from 1 species